rnacentral:rRNA from 1 species
GCAAGUCGAACGAGAAACCCUCUUCGGAGGUUAUUAAAGUGGCGCACGGGUGAGUAACGCGUAGAUAAUCUACCCUUUAGUCUGGGACAACAUCGCGAAAGUGGUGCUAAUACCGGAUAAUAUCUUAAACCGAAUGGUUUUUGAUUGAAGAAUUUCGCUGAAGGAUGAGUCUGCGUACCAUUAGCUAGUUGGUAGGGUAACGGCCUACCAAGGCAACGAUGGUUAGCGGGUCUGAGAGGAUGAUC